UCGGGGUGGCCCGGCGCGCGGUGGCGCGGCGCGGGGGGUUUUCUGGUGCGUCCUGGUCCACCAUGGCCAAACCAACAAGCAAAGAUUCAGGCUUAAAGGAGAAGUUUAAGAUUCUGUUGGGACUGGGAACACCGAGGCCAAAUCCCAAGUCUGCAGAGGGCAAACAGACGGAGUUUAUCAUCACCGCGGAAAUCCUGAGAGAACUGAGUGUGGAAUGUGGCCUCAACAAUCGCAUCCGGAUGAUAGGGCAGAUUUGUGAAGUCGCAAAAACCAAGAAAUUUGAAGAGCACGCAGUGGAAGCACUCUGGAAGGCGGUCGCGGAUCUGUUGCAGCCGGAGCGGCCGCUGGAGGCCCGGCACGCGGUGCUGGCUCUGCUGAAGGCCAUUGUGCAGGGGCAGGGCGAACGUUUGGGGGUCCUCAGAGCCCUCUUCUUUAGGGUCAUCAAGGAUUACCCUUCUAACGAAGACCUUCACGAAAGGCUGGAAGUUUUCAAGGCCCUCACAGACAAUGGGAGACACAUCACCUACUUGGAGGAAGAGCUGGCUGACUUUGUGCUGCAGUGGAUGGAUGUUGGCUUGUCCUCGGAAUUCCUUCUGGUGCUGGUGAACUUGGUCAAAUUCAACAGCUGUUACCUCGACGAGUACAUCGCAAGGAUGGUUCAGAUGAUCUGUCUGCUGUGCGUCCGGACCGCGUCCUCUGUGGACAUAGAGGUCUCCCUGCAGGUGCUGGAUGCCGUGGUCUGCUACAACUGCCUGCCGGCUGAGAGCCUCCCGCUGUUCAUCAUCACUCUCUGUCGCACCAUCAACGUCAAGGAGCUCUGCGAGCCUUGCUGGAAGCUGAUGCGGAACCUCCUUGGCACCCACCUGGGCCACAGUGCCAUCUACAACAUGUGCCACCUCAUGGAGGACAGAGCCUACAUGGAGGACGCGCCCCUGCUGAGAGGAGCUGUGUUUUUUGUGGGCAUGGCUCUCUGGGGAGCCCACCGGCUCUAUUCUCUCAGGAACUCGCCAACAUCCGUGCUGCCAUCGUUUUACCAGGCCAUGGCAUGUCCGAACGAGGUGGUGUCCUAUGAGAUCGUCCUGUCCAUCACCAGGCUCAUCAAGAAGUACAGGAAGGAGCUCCAGGUGGUGACGUGGGACAUUCUGCUGAACAUCAUCGAACGGCUCCUUCAGCAGCUCCAGACCUUGGACAGCCCGGAACUCAGGACCAUCGUCCAUGACCUGUUGACCACAGUGGAGGAGCUGUGUGACCAGAACGAGUUCCACGGGUCUCAGGAGAGAUACUUUGAACUGGUGGAGAGAUGUGCGGACCAGAGGCCUGAGUCCUCCCUCCUGAACCUGAUCUCCUACAGAGCGCAGUCCAUCCACCCGGCCAAGGACGGCUGGAUUCAGAACCUGCAGGCGCUGAUGGAGAGAUUCUUCAGGAGCGAGUCCCGAGGCGCCGUGCGCAUCAAGGUGCUGGACGUGCUGUCGUUCGUGCUGCUCAUCAACAGGCAGUUCUAUGAGGAGGAGCUGAUUAACUCAGUGGUCAUCUCACAGCUCUCCCACAUCCCCGAGGAUAAAGACCACCAGGUCCGAAAGCUGGCUACCCAGUUGCUGGUGGACCUGGCAGAGGGCUGCCACACACACUACUUCAACAGCCUGCUGGACAUCAUCGAGAAGGUGAUGGCUCGCUCCCUCUCCGCACCCCCAGAGCUAGAAGAAAGGGAUGUGGCUGCGUACUCGGCCUCCUUGGAGGAUGUGAAGACAGCCGUCCUGGGGCUUCUGGUCAUCCUUCAGACCAAGCUGUACACCCUGCCUGCAAGCCACGCCACGCGCGUGUAUGAGAUGCUGGUCAGCCACAUUCAGCUACACUACAAGCACAGCUACACCCUGCCAAUCGCGAGCAGCAUCCGGCUGCAGGCCUUUGACUUCCUGUUGCUGCUGCGGGCCGACUCACUGCACCGCCUCGGCCUGCCCAACAAGGAUGGAGUCGUGCGGUUCAGCCCCUACUGCGUGUGCGACUACAUGGAGCCAGAGAGAGGCUCUGAGAAGAAGACCAGCGGCCCCCUUUCUCCUCCCACAGGGCCGCCUGGCCCGGCGCCUGCAGGCCCGGCUGUGCGGCUGGGCUCCCUUCCCUACUCCCUGCUCUUCCGCGUCCUGCUGCAGUGCUUGAAGCAGGAGUCUGACUGGAAGGUGCUGAAGCUGGUUCUGGGCAGGCUGCCUGAGUCCCUUCGCUACAAAGUGCUCAUCUUUACCUCCCCUUGCAGCGUGGACCAGCUGUGCUCUGCUCUCUGCUCCAUGCUUUCAGGCCCAAAGACACUAGAGCGGCUCCGAGGCGCCCCAGAAGGCUUCUCCAGAACUGACCUGCACCUGGCCGUGGUUCCAGUGCUGACAGCAUUAAUCUCUUACCAUAACUACCUGGACAAAACCAAACAGCGCGAGAUGGUCUACUGCCUGGAGCAGGGCCUCAUCCACCGCUGUGCCAGCCAGUGCGUCGUGGCCUUGUCCAUCUGCAGCGUGGAGAUGCCUGACAUCAUCAUUAAGGCACUGCCCGUCCUGGUGGUGAAGCUCACCCACAUCUCGGCCACAGCCAGCAUGGCCGUCCCACUGCUGGAGUUCCUGUCCACUCUGGCCAGGCUGCCGCACCUCUACAGGAACUUCGCUGCGGAGCAGUAUGCCAGUGUGUUCGCCAUCUCCCUGCCGUACACCAACCCCUCCAAGUUUAAUCAGUACAUCGUGUGUCUGGCCCAUCACGUCAUAGCCAUGUGGUUCAUCAGGUGCCGCCUGCCCUUCCGGAAGGAUUUCGUGCCUUUCAUCACUAAGGGCCUGCGGUCCAAUGUCCUCUUGUCUUUUGAUGACACCCCCGAGAAGGACAGCUUCAGGGCCCGGAGUACUAGUCUCAACGAGAGACCCAAGAGUCUGAGGAUAGCCAGACCCCCCAAACAAGGCUUGAAUAACUCUCCACCCGUGAAAGAAUUCAAGGAGAGCUCUGCAGCCGAGGCCUUCCGGUGCCGCAGCAUCAGUGUGUCUGAACAUGUGGUCCGCAGCAGGAUACAGACGUCCCUCACCAGUGCCAGCUUGGGGUCUGCAGAUGAGAACUCCGUGGCCCAGGCUGAUGAUAGCCUGAAAACCCUCCACCUGGAGCUCACGGAAACCUGUCUGGACAUGAUGGCUCGAUACGUCUUCUCCAACUUCACGGCUGUCCCGAAGAGGUCUCCUGUGGGCGAGUUCCUCCUGGCGGGUGGCAGGACCAAAACCUGGCUGGUUGGGAACAAGCUUGUCACUGUGACAACAAGCGUGGGAACCGGGACCCGGUCGUUACUAGGCCUGGACUCGGGGGAGCUGCAGUCCGGCCCGGAGUCGAGCUCCAGCCCCGGCGUGCAUGUGAGACAGACAAAGGAGGCGCCGGCCAAGCUGGAGUCCCAGGCUGGGCAGCAGGUGUCCCGCGGGGCCCGGGACCGGGUCCGUUCCAUGUCGGGGGGCCAUGGUCUUCGAGUUGGUGCCCUGGACGUGCCGGCCUCCCAGCUCCUGGGCAGUGCCACCUCUUCAGGACCACGGACUGUGCCAGCCGCGAAGCCUGAGAAGACCUCAGCUGGCACCCGGGUUCCUGUGCAGGAGAAGACGAACCUGGCGGCCUGUGUGCCCCUGCUGACCCAGGGCUGGGCGGAGAUUCUGGUCCGGAGGCCCACAGGGAACACCAGCUGGCUGAUGAGCCUGGAGAACCCGCUCAGCCCUUUCUCCUCGGACAUCAACAACAUGCCCCUGCAGGAACUGUCCAACGCCCUCAUGGCGGCUGAGCGCUUCAAGGAGCACCGGGACACAGCUCUGUACAAGUCACUGUCGGUGCCGGCGGCCAGCACUGCCAAACCCCCUCCUCUGCCUCGCUCCAACACAGUGGCCUCUUUCUCCUCCCUGUACCAGUCCAGCUGCCAAGGACAGCUGCACAGGAGCGUUUCCUGGGCAGACUCCGCCGUGGUCAUGGAGGAGGGAAGUCCUGGCGAGGUUCCUGUGCCAGUGGAGUCCCCGGGGUUGGAGGACUUUGAGGCAGCGCUAGGCAUGGACAGGCGCAUGGAUGCCUACAGCAGGUCAUCCUCAGUCUCCAGCCAGGAGGAGAAGUCACUCCACGCGGAGGAGCUGGUUGCCAGGGGCAUCCCCAUUGAGCGAGCCGUCUCCUCGGAGGGUGGCCGGCCCUCUGUGGACCUCUCCUUCCAGCCCUCGCAGCCCCUGAGCAAGUCCAGCUCCUCUCCCGAGCUGCAGAGCCUGCAGGACAUCCUCGGGGACCCUGGGGACAAGGCCGACGUGGGCCGACUGAGCCCUGAGGUUAAGGCCCGGUCACAGUCAGGGACCCUGGACGGGGAAAGUGCUGCCUGGUCAGCCUCAGGCGAAGACAGUCGGGGCCAGCCCGAGGGUCCCUUGCCUUCCAGCUCCCCCCGCUCGCCCAGUGGCCUCCGGCCCCGAGGUUACACCAUCUCCGACUCGGCCCCAUCACGCAGGGGCAAGAGGGUAGAGAAGGAUGCCUUUAAGAGCAGAGCCACAGCCUCCAAUGCAGAGAAAGUGCCGGGCAUCAACCCCAGUUUCGUGUUCCUGCAGCUCUACCAUUCCCCCUUCUUUGGCGACGAGUCAAACAAGCCAAUCCUGCUGCCCAAUGAGUCACAGUCCUUCGAGCGGUCGGUGCAGCUCCUCGACCAGAUCCCAUCAUACGACACCCACAAGAUCGCCGUCCUGUAUGUUGGAGAAGGCCAGGUACACGGAGUUCCUGACGGGCCUGGGCCGGCUCAUCGAGCUGAAGGACUGCCAGCCGGACAAGGUGUACCUGGGAGGCCUGGAUGUGUGUGGUGAGGACGGCCAGUUCACCUACUGCUGGCACGAUGACAUCAUGCAAGCCAUCUUCCACAUCGCCACCCUGAUGCCCACCAAGGACGUGGACAAGCACCGCUGCGACAAGAAGCGCCACCUGGGCAACGAUUUUGUGUCCAUUGUCUACAAUGACUCCGGCGAGGACUUUAAGCUCGGCACCAUCAAGGGCCAGUUCAACUUUGUCCACGUGAUCGUCACCCCGCUGGACUACGAGUGCAACCUGGUGUCCCUGCAGUGCAGGAAAGACAUGGAGGGCCUUGUGGACACCAGCGUGGCCAAGAUCGUGUCUGACCGCAACCUGCCCUUCGUGGCCCGCCAGAUGGCCCUGCACGCAAAUAUGGCCUCACAGGUACACCAUAGCCGCUCUAACCCCACCGACAUCUACCCCUCCAAGUGGAUUGCCCGGCUCCGCCACAUUAAGAGGCUCCGCCAGCGGAUCUGCGAGGAAGCCGCCUACUCCAACCCCAGCCUGCCUCUGGUGCACCCCCCGUCCCACACCAAAGCCCCUGCACAGACUCCAGCCGAGCCCACACCUGGCUAUGAGAUGGGCCAGCGGAAGCGCCUCAUCUCCUCCGUGGAGGACUUCACCGAGUUUGUGUGAGGCCAGGGCCCUCCCUGCUGCGCUGGCCUUGGACGGUACUGCGUGUCAGUGAAAUAAAGUCCUGGCCCCAGUGCACAGACAGGCGAGACUGCAGUCAGACAGCUCUUUUAUUGACUUUGUCUGCUUGGUGCGGGGGUGGGGGGGGGUGUCGAGGCUCUAGCAGCGGCCGUGCCCACAGAUGUGGUACACAGAAGCAGGCGCAGCCAGCUCCGAGGGCCUUGGGGCUGCCUGGGCCACACGCACGCGCACACACACAUGCACACACGCUCACCUUCCUCCACCCUGGGAGCCAGCCCCCAGGAGGAGUCUUUUCCUCUAACCACCCUGGGGUCCUCUGACAUGCCUAGUCCUGCUCCUCACCCAGACCCGAUGCCAGCAGGCCUGGGUGCUGCUCUCUUGCUACCUGGCCUGGGGCAAGGGAGGAUGACAAGGCCUCUGGGGUGAUGAGAGUGCCUGACAGACAGACAGCUGUGCCCCCAGCACCGGCCCAAGGCCAUGCUCGCAUCCAAGCAGCAGCCAGGCUGCCGUAACCCCGCCACACCUACCAAGCGCAGACAGGUGUUGGGGGAGGCCAGCUCUGGGCGCAGGCCCCUCAGCCCUAGUGAAAAUAGUGACAUACAAAAAUAUAUACAUUUUAACACCAUAUAAAUUACUGACA